rnacentral:lncRNA from 12 species
CUGGGGAGUUGCUCUUGAAGGCAAAAAGCACCUUGAACCUGCAAGCUUUAUAUGCAAAACAAUGUAUGAAUAGAAUGUGGGCUGUGUCUUAAUCAAACAGGAAAUGGCCCCAGAACACCUCCCUGUCUCCUUCAGGGAGUUUCCGUGCCAGCAAUGUUUGCUAUUUGGUUCUUUGUGAAAGAAGAGCUGUUUGUUGCAGUAGAUUUGUAUUCCUUGAAAUAAGGCCAAGAAUGAGAAUUAAAAGGGAAAGUCAGUGAGAGCUAGGAGCCUGUAUCUGACCUGAAAGAAGAUGUCAGAGUGGAUCAGAUGAGAAUGCUGAUGAUUUGCACUCCAUAGGAUGCAUGUUCAGGAGCUCCCAAGGCCUCAGGAUUUGGUGACUCCUGAAGGACAGCUACCAGUCAGCAGCCCAAGGCAGCUAGGCUGUGGAGUGCAGCUCUUCCCCUGGCAGCGUCACACCUGUGCUGCAAACUGCCGGCUGAUCCCAGAGGGACACUGCAGGGAAAGGUGCACACCUGCACUGGGAAUUGGUGCCUCUUCUUGGCAGCUGGAGCAGCCUGGGCUGAGGAAAACUCAUCCUGUCCCGUGGAGGCUGCCAAGGGCUGCACUGUCUGCUGCAAGGAACAAGCUUGACGUUGUUUGAAAAUAUUGUGUCUAAAGAAAUAAACACAGAGCUCUUCAG